UGAUUGCAGGGUGCUUGAUGAAGUUGGGAAGAGAAGAGUUGCAAAGCCUUCCUCCCACCCUGAGGACGCCAUCUUUGUCGAGAAACGUAUCAAGAACUUGGGUCCAGUGAGCCAUGUGGACGACAGAAGCUCACUGGGAGUCAAGCACCUGGAAGCGUGGUCCGCAGGGUUCUCAUUGGUUGGAACGUAUCUCCAUUGCUGAGGGGACGAGCUAAGGUGAAUCUUCUGAAUACGAUUAGCUACAAAGAAAUAACUGCAGCUGUUAAUUCCAGUCUUGGGACAGUUGUGACCUUUGAUGGUGAGACACGAGAUUUUCCUACAACUAAGGCACAAUGAACAUCUCUAUUUUCGUUCUGAAAUCUCAGGUAUGAGCACUGACCAUAACCCUUUAAGCUAGCGUCCGAGAAAUGAUGUAACUCUGUCUUCGUGGCCUUUCCAAAUCCAGCUGGUGAGUAAGAGCGGGAUAUGGUGACAUUAUCUAGUUGAGCUAGAUCUCUUCUCCACUGUUCCCAUUUCGGGCGGAGCUCAUCUGGGAGAAGAUCGUCCCAACCUGUGCCUCUCCUACACAUCUCCUGAAGAAUGCUUUUUGCUUUGAGCAGGACUGGUGCCACAAAGCCAAGAGGAUCAUACAGGGAGGCCACUGUUGACAGAAUGCCGCGGCGCGUUGCAGGCUGAUCCUUG